UACGGAGGGUGCAAGCGUUGUCCGGAAUUACUGGGCGUAAAGGGUUCGUAGGUGGCCAAUUAAGUCAGACGUGAAAUCCCUCAGCUUAACUGGGGAACUGCGUCUGAGACUGGAUGGCUUGAGUGCAGGAGAGGAACGCGGAAUUCCAGGUGUAGCGGUGAAAUGCGUAGAUAUCUGGAGGAACACCGGUGGCGAAGGCGGCGUUCUGGACUGCAACUGACACUGAGGAACGAAAGCCAGGGGAGCAAACGGG
rnacentral:rRNA from 1 species